AAAAUUAGUAGAAUAAAUGCGAAAAAUAGAAUUUAACAGAUUAUCUUAUUACAAAUAUGAAUCCGAAGUAAAACUCCACCCAAAACUGGUGUCAUAAUUUCACGAACUGUCUAUGAAUACUACAAAUAGUGGUCUAAAUAAGGAAAUACAAAUUUGUCUCAGAAAUAGAUAAAACAGAAAAAAAGCAGAAUAGAAGGGGACGCCGAGGCCUGCGGACGCCGGCAGGACUAUCUCGGAUCUCCACUGGACUAAAGGUAGCAACCUCGAACUACGGUCUGUAUGGUCAAGUAUCGAGAUCUGCACAAAAGUGCAGAGUGUAGCAUCAGUACAACCAAUCCCAUGUAUUGGUAAGUGUCGAGUCUAACCUCGGCGAAGUAGUGACGAGGCUAGGACACGACCAACAUCAUAAACCUGUGAAGUUAAGCAAUAUCUAACAGAAUAACAAUAAUAGAAGCUAACAAAAUUUAUGGGAAGGGGUAACAUGCUAUGGGGGAUACCAGAAUAAGGAAACAUAGAAAUAACGGAAACAAAACAAUUAAGGCACUUGAACCGAUAACAUCAAAUAAUCACAGUAAAAGAAAAACAAAUGCACGGCAUCACCCUUCAUACUUUUACUCUCAAUCCUCACCAUUUAAUAAAUAAUGAAAAUGUGCACGGCAUCACCCUACGUGUUUUUUCUCUCUUCCUCACCAUAUGUAUCAAUAUAAAUGUAAAUGUGCAUGACAUCAUCCUUCGUGCUUUAUCACUCUUUCCUAACCAUAUGCAUAAGUAUGAAUGUGCACGGCAUCACCCUUCGUGCUUUAUCACUCUUUUCUCACCCAAAUAGUAGAAACAAUAACAUCCCGGCAAGGGAAUCAACAAUAGAAACAUAUACAUCCCGGCAAGGGAAUCGGCUAUAACCAAUCUCAUUCCAACAGUUAACUCACAAAAUGAAUCUCAACUUGAGCUAAUACUCAACAAUGGUCAAAUACCCAGAAAUAUCAUAAGUGUUGUACAACAUGAAUAAUCAUCAAUUUAAGCAUGGAUAGUACACAAUAAGAAUCACAACAGUCACAGUAUAAGACUCACGGACAUGCUCGACACCAACGUAUAGAUACUCGUUACCACACCUAUACGUUGUACACAACACUAACACGUAGAAAUUAAGACACAAUACCUAUUCCCUCAAGUUAAGGUUAGGUCAAACACUUACCUCGAUUCCACGGCCACAAAUCAAGCCUCAAAUACUGCUUUCCCUCAAUAAAUGCUAAAGAACUCCAACCCAAUGCUUAAUUAUAGUUUUUCCAACAUUUUUCCCCAAAAAAAAAAAUCGACCCCAUGCCCGCUUGGUCAAAACCCAAAGUUCGGACUAAAACCCAAUUACCCAUUCACCCUAAACCCGAAUAUGCAAUUGGUUUUGGAAUCCGACCUCAAUUUGAGGUCUAAAUCCCCAAAUUUCACCCAAAAACACCCAAUUUCUCAUGAAAAUCCCUAGAUUUUGUGAUGAAAUCUUGUAAAAAGAUGAAGUAGAUUGAAAGAAACGAGUUAGAAAUUGUUUACCUAUGAUUUGGGGAAGAACUUUUCUUUGGAAAAUCGCCUAUGGGAGCUUAGGGUUUGAAAAUUUGAAAGAAUGAGUUGAAAUCCCGUCUAAGUUAUAAUUUACACACUCGCAGAUAUUGCAUUUGCGAUAACAGGUUCGCAAAUGCGAACUAGCAAAUGCUACCAAAGCAUCGCAAAUGCGAAGCUUGGCCUGAGCUGCUGACUUUGCAAAUGCGAACUAUUAUUCGUAAAUGCGGUGCCUGCUGGAGUCGCAAUUUCGACAUUAAACUUGGCAAAUGGGAAGGUCCCCCUCCCUGCCCUCUGAUCGCAAUUGUUAUGCUCGCAUUUGCGAACCAGACUUCGCAAUUGUGAAGUCUGCAGACCUGCAACACAACAGCUAAUUCUUUAAAUCUCAAAAUACUUUGUGCCCUAUCCAAAACUCACUCGAGCCCUCGGGGCUCCAAACCAAACAUGCACACAAGUCUAAAAACAUCAUAUGGACUUGAUCGUGCGAUCAAAUUGCCAAAAUAAUAUCUUAAACAACGAAUUUAGCACCAAAAUCAAUGAAAAUCUCAAGAACUCUUAAAGUUACCAUUUUCAUAACCGAGGGUCCGAAUCACGUCAUAUGAAUUCUGUUUCUUACCAAAUUUUACAUACAUAACAUAUACACCAUAUUAAACCUAUAUCGGGGCUCCGGAACUAAAAUACGGGCCUGAUACCAUCUAAUUCAAACAUUAUUCAAUUUCUAAAAUCCUUAUAUUUUCAGUUAAAUAAUUUUCUUCAAAAAAUUAUUUCUCGGGCUAGGGACCUCGGAAUUCAAUUCUGGGUAUACGCCCAAGUCUCAUAUUUUUCUACGGACCCUCUGUGACCAUCAAAUCAUGGGUUCGGAUUCGGGUCCGUUUACCUAAAAUGUUGACCGAAGUCAACUUAAAAUCAAUUUUAAAGGCAAAAUUAGUAUUUUUCUCAAAUUUUCACAUAAAAACUUUCCGAAUAUACGAUCAUAAUGCGCAUGCAAAUCGAAGUGAGAUAAAAGGAGGUUUUUAAGGUCUCAGAACACAUAUUGGACUGUUAAAACAAGAGAUGACCUUUUGGGUCAUCACAUCUACGAACACAGAAGACCGAGUAAGGAAUUCUGUUAAGCCGGGAGAAGGUGUUAGGCACUCCCGAGUUUCGUGGUUUUAGCCAGGUCGCUCAUCUAUUAAUAAUUGGCCUAAUAAUCUGAUUUAUUACAUGUUUGAAACCUAUUGUGCAUUUUUUUGCUUUCUUAACCGCUUUUAGUAUUUAUGGAAUUAUUUCUGGAAUAAGUCACGAUGUCGUACACUUGCUAUUUUGGUACACGUUGCAAAUUGCGCCACAUGAAAUGCACCCGCAAUUUACGACAUAUUUAUUUUAAUUAUUAUUCGAAAUUAUGGUCGGGUCACAUGAAAUGCACACUCGAAUUUAGAUUUAUGUAUCGUGACUCUGCCAUGGGAACCGUACUCAUAGCCACGAUGAUUUAUUUAAUUAACACACCUAAAGCAAACUACGAUAUUCAAAAAAUAUCCUUACUUUGAUAAAAUUAUGAACAUAUGACUAUAUCUUCCACAGUUAGAAUAAAAAAAAAAAGCAAAAUUACCUUUGAGGACUCAUAAAAGAUACAGCGAAAACUCAUACAUUCACAAUUAAAAAAUAUUUUCAUCUAGAAAGCACCAAAUAAACCUAAUAGCAAUCUCAUGAAACGGAAAAAAUCAAGCAAAUUUCUAGGUCCAAGUCCACCAACUAAGCACCUUAUUCUCAAAUUUCAAUUAACAUAAAGCUCUUACUUAAUGUCAAUCAUAAAACUGAAAACUUGCAGAAUCAGCAAACUUCAUCAAAUUAAUAAGGGAAGUCAGAUUAAAUUGACUGGAAACAAACUUAGAGCAGAAAAAAUUAGAACCCAAAAUAUCAAUAUAAAAAGGAAAGGAACUUACUCAUUUUUGCGAAAUGUUACAAACCCAUCAAAAGAUAACUUCAAUCCUUAAUGUUAAGCAAAACAGCAGCAACUAUUUAACAAAUUCAGUAGCCAAGUGUUGUUGGUCAAGACCUUUUCCUUUGUAUAUUUACAUUUUUAUGAGACAAAUGUUGCGGACUUCUCUUUUUCGGAGUUGCGGCCAUGAGGUCUUUUGAUUUUUUUAUGAAAGUUGUUUGGAUUUUUUGUGUAUGGUUUUAGGGAAGAUGAUCUUUUAGGAGGGAUGGAUGCUCGUUUUUUUUUUGUUGUUGUUGAAUAAGAAGAUCUGAGGGUUGCCGUUUCUUUUAGCCUUUUCUAUGGGAGGGGAUCUAGAAUUAGGUCUAGGUUUUGG
rnacentral:lncRNA from 1 species